rnacentral:rRNA from 1 species
UACGUAGGGCGCAAGCGUUGUCCGGAAUUAUUGGGCGUAAAGGGCUCGUAGGCGGUUUGUCACGUCGGGAGUGAAAACUCAGGGCUCAACCCUGAGCGUGCUUCCGAUACGGGCAGACUAGAGGUAUGCAGGGGAGAACGGAAUUCCUGGUGUAGCGGUGGAAUGCGCAGAUAUCAGGAGGAACACCGGUGGCGAAGGCGGUUCUCUGGGCAUUACCUGACGCUGAGGAGCGAAAGCAUGGGGAGCGAACAGG